GGGAGUACGGCCGCAAGGCUAAAACUCAAAGGAAUUGACGGGGGCCCGCACAAGCGGCGGAGCAUGCGGAUUAAUUCGAUGCAACGCGAAGAACCUUACCAAGGCUUGACAUGAACCGGUAAUACCUGGAAACAGGUGCCCCGCUUGCGGUCGGUUUACAGGUGGUGCAUGGUUGUCGUCAGCUCGUGUCGUGAGAUGUUGGGUUAAGUCCCGCAACGAGCGCAACCCUCGUUCUAUGUUGCCAGCGCGUUAUGGCGGGGACUCAUAGGAGACUGCCGGGGUCAACUCGGAGGAAGGUGGGGACGACGUCAAAUCAUCAUGCCCCUUAUGUCUUGGGCUUCACGCAUGCUACAAUGGCCGGUACAAAGGGUUGCGAUACUGUGAGGUGGAGCUAAUCCCAAAAAGCCGGUCUCAGUUCGGAUUGGGGUCUGCAACUCGACCCCAUGAAGUCGGAGUCGCUAGUAAUCGCAGAUCAGCAACGCUGCGGUGAAUACGUUCCCGGGCCUUGUACACACCGCCCGUCAAGUCACGAAAGUUGGUAACACCCGAAGCCGGUGGCCUAACCCUUGUGGGGGGAGCCGUCGAAGGUGGGACCGGCGAUUGGGACUAAGUCGUAACAAGGUAGCCGUACCGGAAGGUGCGGCUGGAUCACCUCCU
rnacentral:rRNA from 1 species